rnacentral:pre_miRNA from 1 species
UUAACUUUAAGUCGUCUGGAAAGUCUUCCAACAAAAAGACUUCUCAGACUACUUAAGUUUAAGUCGUCUGAGAAGUCUUUUUGUUGGAAGACUUUCCAGACGACUUAAAGUUA